GUUCGUUCAUAGCUCCUGCGAUGAUGUGAGGCAGUACUCAUCGAUGCUUGGUAUUUAUGCUCAGGAUCAUGAGUAUGUGGUUAGUAAUCUAGCCGUGAGUAGGCUUCCAGCUCGCUGAUUGGUUGAGCCGAUGUGGCACAGCCGCGCACGUUUCGCGCGCGUCUGCCAUUAUUUCAGUUGAAUUCUGUUGCUUGGUGGUGAAAGUGCGUCGCUCGCGUGUGCAGCAUUUUAUGGACUUGGUGUGCAGAAACUGAAACUCGGAUUCCGAGGCCAAUAUUUCUUUUGGAUAUACCACCGCACUGCUGCCGGGGCUGGUGCCGGUGCAGACGCUCGCCCCGAUCGACACCGGAUGCUCGCCGCCGGGUGGCUUCAGAAUGUGAAGUUGCCUGCUCCUGUUCGAUAGGUAAAGUUUCGGAGACACUGGUGCGUUUUCUGGAAACUGCAGUCUCAAGGAUGGCGACGGAGAAAGUGCGCCCAUGGUCUUCCAUGCCCUCGCGCUACUGAGCCAGAAUACCAGCAGCCAGCACCCUUCGAGCUA
rnacentral:lncRNA from 1 species